AGAGUUUGAUCCUGGCUCAGAUUGAACGCUGGCGGCAGGCCUAACACAUGCAAGUCGAGCGGUAGCACAGAGAGCUUGCUCUCGGGUGACGAGCGGCGGACGGGUGAGUAAUGUCUGGGAAACUGCCUGAUGGAGGGGGAUAACUACUGGAAACGGUAGCUAAUACCGCAUAAUGUCGCAAGACCAAAGUGGGGGACCUUCGGGCCUCAUGCCAUCAGAUGUGCCCAGAUGGGAUUAGCUAGUAGGUGGGGUAACGGCUCACCUAGGCGACGAUCCCUAGCUGGUCUGAGAGGAUGACCAGCCACACUGGAACUGAGACACGGUCCAGACUCCUACGGGAGGCAGCAGUGGGGAAUAUUGCACAAUGGGCGCAAGCCUGAUGCAGCCAUGCCGCGUGUGUGAAGAAGGCCUUCGGGUUGUAAAGCACUUUCAGCGGGGAGGAAGGCGUUAAGGUUAAUAACCUUGGCGAUUGACGUUACCCGCAGAAG
rnacentral:rRNA from 1 species